GGACGGCUAACUCUGUGCCAGCAGCCGCGGUAAUACAGAGGUCCCAAGCGUUGUUCGGAUUCAUUGGGCGUAAAGGGUGCGUAGGUGGCGCCGUAAGUGGGGUGUGAAAUUUCGGAGCUUAACUCCGAAACUGCAUUCCAUACUGCGGUGCUUGAGGACUGGAGAGGAGACUGGAAUUUACGGUGUAGCAGUGAAAUGCGUAGAGAUCGUAAGGAAGACCAGUGGCGAAGGCGGGUCUCUGGACAGUUCCUGACACUGAGGCACGAAGGCCAGGGGAGCAAACGGGAUUAGAUACCCCGGUAGUCCUGGCAGUAAACGGUGCACGUUUGGUGUGGGGGGAUUCGACCCCUUCUGCGCCGGAGCUAACGCGUUAAACGUGCCGCCUGGGGAGUACGGUCGCAAGAUUAAAACUCAAAGAAAUUGACGGGGGCCCGCACAAGCGGUGGAGUAUGUGGCUUAAUUCGAUGCAACGCGAAGAACCUUACCUGGCCUUGACAUGCAUCUCUAAGCUGGUGAAAGCCAGUGAGUGUCGAAAGACAUAAUUUGCACAGGUGCUGCAUGGCUGUCGUCAGCUCGUGUCGUGAGAUG
rnacentral:rRNA from 1 species